UACGUAGGUGGCAAGCGUUGUCCGGAUUUAUUGGGUUUAAAGGGUGCGUAGGCGGCUUUUUAAGUCAGUGGUGAAAGCCGAUCGCUUAACGAUCGAACUGCCAUUGAUACUGAGAGGCUUGAGUAUAGUUGAGGUAGGCGGAAUUGACAGUGUAGCGGUGAAAUGCAUAGAUAUUGUCAAGAACACCAAUUGCGAAGGCAGCUUACUAAAGUAUAACUGACGCUGAGGCACGAAAGUGCGGGGAUCAAACAGG
rnacentral:rRNA from 1 species